GACGAACGCUGGCGGCGUGCUUAACACAUGCAAGUCGAACGAAGUGGCGAACGGGUGAGUAACGCGUAAUCAACCUGCCCUUCAGAGGGGGACAACAGUUGGAAACGACUGCUACUACCGCAUACUGAAGGAGGUGAUUGCGUCUGAUUAGCUCGUUGGAGGGGUAACGGCCCACCAAGGCGAUGAUCAGUAGCCGGGCUGAAGAGAGGAAAGGGCACAAGGGGACCGAGACAAGGCCCAGACUGCGACGGGAGGGAGCAGUGGGGAAACUUCCGCAAUGGACGAAAGUCUGAAGGAGCAACGCCGCGUGAGUGAUGACGGCCUUCGGGUUGGAAAGCUCUGUUAAGCGGGACGCGGUACCGGAAUAGAAAGCAACGGCUAACUAUGUGCCAGCCGCCGCGGUAAUUC
rnacentral:rRNA from 1 species